GAAUUGACGGGGGCCCGCACAAGCGGUGGAGCAUGUGGUUUAAUUCGAUGCAACGCGAAGAACCUUACCUGGUCUUGACAUCCACGGAAGUUUUCAGAGAUGAGAAUGUGCCUUCGGGAACCGUGAGACAGGUGCUGCAUGGCUGUCGUCAGCUCGUGUUGUGAAAUGUUGGGUUAAGUCCCGCAACGAGCGCAACCCUUAUCCUUUGUUGCCAGCGGUCCGGCCGGGAACUCAAAGGAGACUGCCAGUGAUAAACUGGAGGAAGGUGGGGAUGACGUCAAGUCAUCAUGGCCCUUACGACCAGGGCUACACACGUGCUACAAUGGCGCAUACAAAGAGAAGCGAACUCGCGAGAGCAAGCGGACCUCAUAAAGUGCGUCGUAGUCCGGAUUGGAGUCUGCAACUCGACUCCAUGAAGUCGGAAUCGCUAGUAAUCGUGGAUCAGAAUGCCACGGUGAAUACGUUCCCGGGCCUUGUACACACCGCCCGUCACACCAUGGGAGUGGGUUGCAAAAGAAGUAGGUAGCUUAACCUUCGGGAGGGCGCUUACCACUUUGUGAUUCAUGACUGGGGUGAAGUCGUAACAAGGUAACCGUAGGGGAACCUGCGGUUGGAUCACCUCCUUACCUUAAAGAAGC
rnacentral:rRNA from 1 species